rnacentral:rRNA from 1 species
GAUGAACGCUAGCUACAGGCUUAACACAUGCAAGUCGAGGGACCGGCGCACGGGUGAGUAACACGUAUCCAACCUGCCCUUUACUCGGGGAUAGCCUUUCGAAAGAAAGAUUAAUACCCGAUAUAAAGGAUGGGGAUGCGUUCCAUUAGGUUGUUGGUGAGGUAACGGCUCACCAAGCAUUCGGUGGAUAGGGGUUCGUAGAGGAAGGUCCCCCACAUGUGAACUGAGACCCGGUCCAAACUCCUACGGGAGGCAGCAGUGAGGAAUAUUGGUAAAUGGGAGGUAGCCUGACCCAGCCAAGUAGCGUGAAGUAUGAAGGCUUAUGGGUCGUAAACUUCUUUUAUAUAAGAAUAUGUAUUAUAUGAAUAAGGAUCGGCUAACUCCGUGCCAGCCGCCGCGGUAAUUC